rnacentral:rRNA from 1 species
CAAAUGUAUAUUAUAUCACACGUACUUGCACUAACACAAAGACUACACAAUGUAAGAAGGUUCUUAAGCAAGAAAUGGACAUGGGAUAUAUAUAGCUAAUUAUCAAUCAUACAAACUAAGUGACACAUGCCACGGUUCAGCUCACAGAUCAGCAAUGUAACACUACAAACACAAGUCUGAAAUUGAACAAAUCACUAUAUUAUACAGUACUAACUCCUGUGAAUUACAGAGAGAGAAAGAGAUAGAAACUGCAGCAGGAUUGGGAAUACAGAAAAGAAGCAGAGCAUCAGGGAGUGAGGAGCAGCAAGGGGGCGCUGGAGAGGAGCAGUAAGUGGACGCUGGAGAGAGCAGGUAGCAGCAACAGCGUUUGGGAGAUUCAGAGAAGAAGCAGGGAAGCAGCGAGGUAGGCGAAGAAGGAGCAGCAGCAGAGGUACAGAGAGAAACUGAGAGGUGGUGGAGCAGAAGCAAGGCAAAGAAAGAAACAGAGCAAGGGAAGCAGAGGAAGCAGCAGUAGAUGGAGAAGAGAAGAAGAACAUCAGUAGGGUUAGGAGGAGAAGAAAGGUGGAGGAGCAGCAGGGAGAUGGAUGGGAGGCGGCGCGAGGUGGUGAGGCGGUGCUGGUGGCGGCGUUGAUGGAGGCGCGGUGGUGGAUCGGGCGCCGGUGCUGGUGCUGGUGGAUGGUGGCGAAGAUGGCGCUGGUGAUGGCAUGGUGGAUGGUGCAGAUCGAGUGGAUGGAUGGCUGUGUGGCACGCCGCCACGCCGGCCUGGCCGCGGUGGUGGAGAAGGUGGGGUGAGGGAGAAGAGAGAUUUGCCAGGCCCGAGGGGAAUUGUAGAUGGACUAGGGAUUUUGACCCCUCGAUCUGAUCUUCCAUUUGCACAAUGGCCCUCCUGCUUCCUUCUUUCUUCACAAGAAAAUCCCUCUCUUCUCUAGUUGGCCCCCUGGUUACUUUGUUUCUUCUCGCACAAGUCCAUUCUUCCUCCUCUUCUUCGUUCUCUUAGCCACUUAGUCCGGAUCUUGAAGUUUAUAGUGCCUUCUCACACUUUUCUGCAAAACAAACCACUGAGUAGUAAAUCACCCCUUUAUAUGAUUAUCAUUCACAAAUUCAACAAUUCAUAGCAAGAAAUGAAUGAAUAUAACUCAAUAAACCGCAUAUUUGAGUGCCA